UGCAAGCUGAGGGAGCCGGCUCCGGCCUCGGCCAGCCCAGGAAGUGGCUCCCACAGUGCAGCGGCAGGCUGAAGGGCUCCUCAAGUGCCGCCAAAGUGGGAGCCCAGGCAGAGGAGGCGCCGAGAGCGAGCGAGGGCUGUGAGGACUGCCAGCACGCUGACACCUCUCACCGCCAUUUGCCAGGUCCAGAGUUCUUGUCCUACAUCCAGGAAGAAUGAAGUACGUGGACAACUGGAAAGACUGAUUCCUUAUCCAACAUCACUUUCUGGACUACCUAGAAUCCAACUAUCAUGUCUUUCACCAAGAUGUCAUCUUGUGGGCUAGUCCGUUGGACCUACUUGACCAAUCAGACACUAUCCUAAUCUCCAUAAUGUGAUACCUCCUGAGAGGCAGCCAUUUGACACAGACACUUUUCUCAGUUUGCUCAGGCUCCAACGCCAUGAUCUGCUAUGCAACUCUCUCCACAGUCUCCAUCAUGGAUACCUGCCUUUUAUUCCAACACCUAAUGUUUUAGUAUUAAAUCAUUCCAUAUGAUAAGAGUAGAGAGGUG
rnacentral:lncRNA from 10 species